ACUGUGUGCACUGUGCAUAGCACAAGUGAUCCAAGAUGAUGAUUUCCAAACUGUGCCCUUGGAGACUCCAGAGAGUGUGGAGCAGCUGUUGGUGUUGUGGAAGUUGCUCUGAUAACUAUUGCCAAGAUAUCACUCUUCAUUUUAAUUGCAUGCAUGUAACUACAGCUCAGUGUAUUCCUGUUUUAUUUCCUCCGUGCUAUUAUGAAGUUUUAUGAUGCUUCAUGGAGGUUGCUGUCUUUAGAAGCUGUGACCCUUCACAUUGCAUUCCUUUUAUUCUCUUUCCUAAUGCAAGUCCUACUUCUCACCUGAAGCAGUUUUCUUCAGUGCAGGGAAAGUCAAUGUCCCUCCCUUUAUCCCCUCUGGACAUCUGUGUCUGCUCACAGAGUCUGUUGCUUUCUCCUCUGCUGGAUCCAGCACUGUGAGCCACGUGCCCCUUGCCUCCUCAGCUCCCACCUGUGUACCCACUGCUGCUCCUUGCUCUCACUUUGCCCUCUGGAGAUGGUCAGUUGUGCCCACAGGAGGCAAACUCUCAUCUUCUGAACUCAGGAGAAAUAAAACCAGCUCUGCCAUCAGUGGGACCCAGGUUCUGGCAGAAAGGAGCAGCAGGGAAGGAUCUGCCCAGAGGAUGCCCCGACAGCCCAGUGCGAGCCGGAUGCAGAAGGCAGGAGCCUCUGGGAAGAACACUGGGGGAGGCAACAGUACCUAAAUAAGGCCUUGGAACUAGAUGGAUUUUAAUACUUGACAAUGUAUAUAAACUAUGUUUGUUGAAGCUGCUUGUGUUGUGUGUAUUAACCAAUAAACAUGAUUUGUAAUACA